rnacentral:lncRNA from 1 species
AUGCCUUGGUACAGUGGAGAAACAGAAGGCCCAGAAUUUCUUGCCGUUUAUUACACUGUAAAGUGGGAGCAUACACAGAUGUGGAGUGAGGAAGAUAGCAAAGCCCUCUUAAACACAUGUUUGGAUCAUGGACAGACACAGGACUUCAUAAGAAGAGUUCACCAUGCAUGGCGUGGACACACUCCAAGGCUGUUCACACUGGCUUGUUUCCAAAUGGGUACAAAUCCCCUCUGCAUACCCAAGUGA